CAUUCCAAAAAGCAGCCUGCCCCCGCGUGUCCAGAGUCAGCCUGGGUUCUGGGAGUGGACUACCUAGUGUGAAUCCUGCCAGUCCUGUGCAGAAAGGCCUAGUAGCUUAGCUUCAGGGGCCCCUAAGCUCCAGGAGAAGUUCAGAUACCUGGGAUAACAGGAAUAAAAUACCUACAGCUGGACCAUUCAGACUGUAUUGAUCUUGGACAGUUGCUGCCUUGUCAUGUGUCUCAGCACAGCAUUCCACUAGCUUCACUGCUGCCUUUAUCCCUCAUUAGAUGCUGGCCAUCACAGAGGAGGGGAGUUAACUACCCCACGUACCAGUGGACAAAGGCUCGCUUGGCGUACAUCAGGUCAAACUUGUGGUCCAGCCUUGCCCAUGCCUCUGCAAUCGCCGUGGUGUUACUCAGCAUGCACAUGGCCCGCUGCACCUUUGAGCCAGGUGAAUUCUCAGAUGCCAGGGAGGAUCUGGCUGCUCUGGAGAAAGAUUAUGAAGAGGUGGGCGCAGAGGCAGAGGAAGGGGAAGAAUACUAGUGAACAACCCAGCUGAGGGAUGCCAGAGAGUCUCCCUUCUCACCUCCUACAAGUAGAACUGAUUACAUAAUUUGUUUACAAAUAAACAUUUGCGUAUUAAAGUAAAAAAAUAAAAUAGUUAACUACCACCAGAGGGGUAGUUAACAACAGUAACAA